rfam:Oryza nivara chromosome 10, whole genome shotgun sequence.
UUUAAGUGCAAUUUUCCACGCUCAAUUUGAUCGUUCGUGUUAUUUAUUUUUUUUAUAAUUAAUAUUUUUAUUAUUAUGAGAUGAUAAAACAUGAAUAGUACUUUACUCGUGACUUAUGAUUUUAAAUUUUUUCAAAUAAAACGAAAUCAAAGCUGGGCUCGGAAAACCAUGGCUGCACUUGAA